CCCCUUCUCCCUCUCCAGUCUUCUCUGCUUCCCGUCCUCUCAUUUUUUAGGGUUUUUCCCUUUCCUCUUCUCCAUUUCGGUGCCUCCAUUUCUGCUCUUCCCUUCCCUUCCCUUCCCAGUUUCAUUUUCUUUGUUCUUCGUUUGUUGUCCAUUGUUACAUACUUGUCUUCUUUUUUCCCGAUCUUCUGAAUCUCCUCACUAUUAAUUCGUCUCUUACUCCUUGUUUGGGGAUAUGGCUACAAAGCGCCACCAAUUACAGGUUUACGCUUGGCUGCUUCCACGCCAUCUUUGGCAACAAUGUGUAUGCUUCUGAUUAGAUACAUAAUGCAUUGCUUGCAGUUGGAGCUUUGAGAUUGAGUAGAAAAUGAUUGUCGGUAUUCAGAGAGACGCGAUAGUGGUGGAGCGUCAGAUGUGAAAGUCGCUGCUCAGUGUCACUUACAUGGUUUAGUUCAUCGUGAUUUGAAACCUAAGAAUUUUCUUUUCAAGUCGCCUAAAGUGGAUUCAUCUUUAAAGGCCACAGACCAAAUGUAGUAUCUUGAUCAUCAUUAUAGUUCUACAUUCCAACAUAAUAGUUGGAGCAUAGAGAUUGAGUGGAGUUCAGUCAAUUUUGUGAUUGUAUUGGUAAUGGCAGACAAGGUAUUUGGGCCGAAUGCGACAACGGGGGAGGUUUACGAUAUUGCUACUCAGCCUAUUGUGAAAUCUUCAAUGGAUGGUAUUAAUGGUAUGAAUUGUAUUAUUCUUGAUUAGAACGGGAUUUGUUGAAUGAAAUGGAUUUACAGUUUUUAUUUUAUGUUUGAGCUUUUAAAACGUGUUUAUCGAAUGUUAGUGAUAUUGAAAUGCAAUGUUGAUCAUGCAGGAAAGGUGAGUGGCAGCCUUUGAUAGCCUACAUUUCGUGUUUGAUUAGAUAUUUUCCAUUCCUGGCUCAUGUUUUCUUUGAUUACCUUAGAUUGUCCGUAAUCCAUAGGGAAAAUUGAGAUCGACAAAUGAGUCUAUUUGUGACAGAUAACAACAUAUCUGCAUAUGUUACUCAUUAGGCAAGAAAUUUAUGGAUAAUUAGACAAAUGUGACUUGCCUAUCUAAAGAUAUUAUUAAACGACUUAGAUAAGAAUUGGUAGUCUGGUUGUUUAUUUAUUUCAGAAAUCUUGUAUCCCAAAUGUUACUUUGAACUUUUGAAGCAUUUCUAUCUUUGUUUAGUCUGACUCUCUCAUUACUUGGUGUAAUACUAGAGGACUUGGUGAAGCACUUGCUAGAGAAUUUAUUCCUUCUGGAGACUGAGUGGUUCUUAUUUCACGCAGGUUGUAUUCUGGAACUCUAGGGUAUAGGUCACCUUUUGUUUUUUUUUUUUUUUAAAUGUCAAACUCAUAGUGUGCUACCUUGAAGGUAGUGCUGAUUCAGCGGAUGCAAUUGUUAAAGAGCUUUAAGAAAGUCUUAGGGAAAUGAAAGUUGUAAAUGGGAAAAAUCAGAGAUAUGCAAAAGUGGUAGGCAUACCAUAUGAUGUUUGCAACCCUAAUGACGUGAGAAAGUUAGCUGAUUUUGCUGUAAAUGAACUUGGUUCAGUUGAUAUUUGGGUGAGUAAUGAGCUUUUUCUCCUAAGGAGUUCUAUGCAACAUAUAUCACUUUAGUCUUUUCUUCAACCUUCUUAAUUUCAAUUGAAGUUUCUUGGCCCUUGAAUAUGUAGUUCUAUUAUUAUAGUAGGAUAGUCGAGAAUUUGAAUUCAGCUAGAUGCACGCUGAUAUCAUUAUAUAAGCAUGAUUUGCAUGACAAUGAUACAUUGUCUUAAAGGAUGUAGUAAUUGGUAAAUGGGUGUAUGAGAAACAAUAACCCUCUAUUGGUUGUUUUUUGUCUAAUUUUAAAAGGUCUAGCUGAACAAGAACCCAUUGAGUCUUCCGCCAAGCUAGGAUAUUGAGACAAUAUAGAUUGAUUACAGAAGAGAUAUCUCUUAUCUGGUUAGCUACUCAAUCUUUAACCCAGGGAGAGUUUUAUUAUGGAAGAGUUCCUUUUAGAUGACUUGGGGUCAAAUAAAACAACUUAGGUGAUGCUAGAUUUAGUUCUCACAAUAAUCCUCAAGGACCUCAAGUAAUUGAAUCCCUAAAAAUAUGAAGUAAUUGACAAACACUUCUUUUAAACAUAGUUCAAAACUAAUAUUGUUUUUGAACUUUUCUUUGGGAAGGGAAGGGAUAGGAAAAUUUUCUAAAAGACACGUGCUGGAGCUCGCAGAUAAAGUGGAUGGCAAUGAAGGCAUCUGGGGCGUACAAGAACUGCAAGCCAUGUGCGGGAGGGAGGAGUGAGAAUUGGAAGAGUUAUGAGGAAUCAAAUGGUGGGUCUAUUUCUUCAAGGAGAUUCAAAGAGCGGAUUCCACGGUGGUAGGUAUGGCAAAGAUUUGGGGGAAAGAAUUGGGAGGGAGGGUUAUGGUAAGGGAAUUGGGAUGGGGAUUUCGAGCGGCAAGGCAACGCCGGUAUGGAUUAGUAGGAGGUCGGAAUUAGUGGUGUUUAUGGAGGAGGAUGAGCCUAAAGAGUGGGUUGCCCAGGUGAGCUUGGUGUUGUUAUUACAUUUUUUCCGCACUCCAAGGUGGUAAUGAUCUCAAGCUCAUUCAUUUUAGGUAUAACUUAUGUUUUUGAGGAUUUUGGUUUUUGGUUUGUGGUGGUUAUUUUAUUUGUUUGUUUGGUUUUGAUCUGAUUUUGUUUUCAUUUUUAGUGAGAUCAAAAUCCACACAUCCUGUAGUCUUAUUUUUAGUGGCAUGGGUGGUUCUUUUCCUGUUGUUCGACUAUCUUUCAAGGUUGAGUUUAUGAAAAAGGCAAAUGGUACUUAUUUUCUGAAGAGGUACAAUUGUGGUCAAAUCUAUUAAUUUUUAUUUGAAAUUAGAAGCUCUUAGACCAUUAACAAUUUGGAAUUUCAUAGCAUAGUUCACCAAUUAGAAAUUUGAAAUUGUUUGAAAUUGAACUCUAUAAAUGUUAGCUAUAAAAUGAACGUUAGGUCUGGUCCAGGAGUUGAUGUUAGUAAUGAGUCCCCUUGUAUAUGUUAACUUCAUUGUCUAAUAACAAUGCUCUUGAAUUUUAGCUGAAUAACUUUAGAGUUUAGAAAAUGAGAUAAAAUGAAUAUAUGAUGUGUUUAAAAUCAGUUUGCCGGGUUAAUUUGGCCUUUCAUUUUGGGUUGGAGGGAAUUAUGACGGAAAGGCAAGAAUUUGGUAUAUAAAGUUAGUAAUAGAAGGAAAUUGGGUAAAUUACAUGAAUAUUCCUGUGUUGUCAAAACUUGACUUGGUCUCUGACUCUUUUACAAACAAACUACUAAGUAAUAACCUAAUGAAUGAUGAUUCUCUUAAAAUCAGGGCCUUUUUUACGCAAUUAUGAUUCAUGGAUAACCAUCUUGACUUAUCAGUAAUGUUUACACAGCAAUGUUUAAUGCAUAACCAUGUUGACUUGAAUUGUCUAAACUGAUUUGUUUCUAUAAAUAUCAAAAACUAGAACCUUAAACCAUCAUUUACAUUUCAAAAAAGUGAACCGUUUAGCAAUAAUUUCUUACCUGCGUUCUAGCAAUACUUUCUUCUCUGCUGAAAUCCGGUGACUGUUUACUUUGGGGGUAAUUAGUUCUAUCUUGGUACACCAUGACCUCUCUUAUUGUUUGCUUUUAGGUAGCCUUUCUAA